rnacentral:tmRNA from 1 species
GGGGGCGCCUUGGCUUCGACUGGAUGUUGGAAACGCUGGCUGCAUGUAGAGGUUGGUCGGUUGGCCUCUUAAAAAAGCCGUCCAAAAACAUAAUUGCAGACUCUAACGAGCUCGCACUUGCUGCUUAAUUGACGGCAACGGCCGCCCUGAGAUGCCUGUUAUCAGGGCCGCCGACAACUAGCAGGCUGGCUGUUGAGCCGGGGUUCCGGGUGACGCAGUGAGAUACAACAGGGACAUCGGAAGUGCGAACGGGCCGGAUGAGGCUCGCGCUUCUUAAAGCAGCAAACGUCCGGCUACACAUGUAGACGCUUGUGUGAAAGGCAUCCAGGACAGGGGUUCGAUCCCCCUCGCCUCCACCA